rnacentral:rRNA from 1 species
AUUGAACGCUGGCGGCAGGCCUAACACAUGCAAGUCGAACGAGUGGCGGACGGGUGAGUAAUGUCUGGGAAACUGCCCGAUGGAGGGGGAUUACUACUGGAAACGGUAGCUAAUACCGCAUACCAUCGGAUGUGCCCAGAUGGGGUUAGCUAGUAGGUGGGGUAACGGCUCACCUAGGCGACGAUCCCUAGCUGGGCUGAGCGGUUGACCAGCCACACUGGAUCUGAGACACGGUCCAGCCUCCUACGGGAGGCGGCAGGGGGGAAUAUUGCACAAUGGGCGCGAGCCUGAUGCAGCCGUGCCGCGUGUAUGAAGAAGGCCUUCGGGUUUUAAAGUACUUUCAGCGAGGAGGCGUUGCUCGCAGGAGGAGCGCCGGCUAGCUCCGUGCCAGCAGCCGCGGUGAUUC